ACAAGGUAUGGUUUAUGUUCUUAUCUUCAAUUCUAAAUGUUAGAUCUUCUAAAUAUUUAUAUUUGAUAUAAAAAGCUAAUCACUUGUAUAAUUGUAUAUAGGUGGAGAAGCCAAGUAGAAGAAGAACAAGCAAAGAAAAUGUGGUGAAGGGUUCGGCCACUAUGUUUUUUGCUCACUACUUAGGAAGUUUGUUAGGCAUUAAAGAUUGUCUUUAAACUUUCUUAUUUUGUUAAGAACUUAUUAUGUG
rnacentral:lncRNA from 1 species